GGCAAGGUGGCUCAGUGGUUGAGUGCUUGCCUUGCAUGCAUGAGGCCCUGGGUUCAAUUCCUCAGUACCA
rnacentral:tRNA from 1 species